UGGGGAAUAUUGGACAAUGGGGGCAACCCUGAUCCAGCCAUGCCGCGUGAUUGAAGAAGGCCUUAGGGUUGUAAAGAUCUUUUGGCAGGGAAGAUAAUGACUGUACCUGCAGAAUAAGCCCCGGCUAACUCCGUGCCAGCAGCCGCGGUAAUACGGAGGGGGCUAGCGUUGUUCGGAAUUACUGGGCGUAAAGAGAACGUAGGCGGAUCGUUAAGUCGGAGGUGAAAUCCCAGGGCUCAACCCUGGAACUGCCCUCGAUACUGGCGGUCUUGAGAACGGAAGAGGUGAGUAGAAUGCCGAGUGUAGAGGUGAAAUUCGUAGAUAUUCGGCGGAAUACCAGUGGCGAAGGCGCCUCACUGGUCCGUAUCUGACGCUGAGGUUCGAAAGCGUGGGGAGCAAA
rnacentral:rRNA from 1 species